ACGGGAGGCAGCAGUGGGGAAUAUUGGGCAAUGGGCGCAAGCCUGACCCAGCAACGCCGCGUGAAGGAUGAAGGUCUUCGGAUUGUAAACUUCUGUUUUUAGUGAAGAAACAAAUGACGGUAGCUAAAGAGGAAGCCACGGCUAACUACGUGCCAGCAGCCGCGGUAAUACGUAGGUGGCAAGCGUUGUCCGGAUUUACUGGGUGUAAAGGGUGCGCAGGCGGGACUGCAAGUUGGAUGUGAAAUACCGGAGCUUAACUCCGGGGCUGCAUCCAAAACUGUAGUUCUUGAGUGGAGUAGAGGUAAGCGGAAUUCCGAGUGUAGCGGUGAAAUGCGUAGAUAUUCGGAGGAACACCAGUGGCGAAGGCGGCUUACUGGGCUCUAACUGACGCUGAGGCACGAAAGCAUGGGUAGCAAACAGGAUUAGAUACCCUGGUA
rnacentral:rRNA from 1 species